CUGCUUAAUUGUAGUCUGCCGAUGUAUUUUUCAAACCCAUUUACCUAAUACUGAUCUAUACUCCAAAAACGAAAGUUUAUGGUUUUAAUCUAUAACAACUUUCAGCAGUGGAUGUCUAGGCUCGCACAUCGAUGAAGAACGCUGCGAACUGCGAUACGUAAUGCGAAUUGCAGAAUUCAGUGAGUCAUCGAAAUUUUGAACGCACAUUGCACUUUCGGGUUAUGCCUGGAAGUAUGCCUGUAUCAGUGUCCGUACAUCAAACUUGCCUUUCUUUUUCUGUGUAGUCAGGGAGAGAGAUGGCAGAAUGUGAGGUGUCUCGCUGGCUCCCUUUUCGGAGGAGAAGACGCGAGUCCCUUUAAAUGUACGUUCGCUCUUUCUUGUGUCUAAGAUGAAGUGUGAUUCUCGAAUCGCGGUGAUCUGUUUGGAUCGCUUUGCGCAUUUGGGCGACUUCGGUUAGGACAUUAAAGGAAGCAACCUCUAUUGGCGGUAUGUUAGGCUUCGGCCCGACGUUGCAGCUGACAGAGUGUGGUUUUCUGUUCUUUCCAUGAGGUGUACCUGAAUUGCGUGAGGCAAUGGUCUGGGCAAAUGGUUGCUGUGUAGUAGGGUUUUGCUGCUCUUGGACGCCCUGUUUUCGGAUAGGGUAAAGGAGGCAACACCAAUUUGGGACUGUUUGCAAUUUAUUG
rnacentral:misc_RNA from 1 species